UACGUAUGGGGCAAGCGUUAUCCGGAUUUAUUGGGCGUAAAGAGCGCGUAGGCGGAUUGUUAAGUCAGGUGUGAAAUCCGGGGGCUCAACCCGCGGUCUGCAUCUGAAACUGGCAGUCUUGAGUCUGGUAGAGGAAAGUGGAAUUCCCAGUGUAGCGGUGAAAUGCGCAGAUAUUGGGAGGAACACCAGUGGCGAAGGCGGCUUUCUGGGCCACGACUGACGCUGAGGCGCGAAAGCUAGGGGAGCAAACAGG
rnacentral:rRNA from 1 species